GGGCCGGUAGUUUAGUCCGGUAGAAUACCUGCCUUGCACGUAGGGGGUCGUGGGUUCAAAUCCCACCCGGUCCACCA
rnacentral:tRNA from 1 species